GUGUUGUAAACAAGACACAAGAAGUCAGUCUUCGCUCUACUCUGCGCUGGUUAGGGCCUCAACUGAGUAUUGUUCCCAGUCCAGGGUGCCACUUUUCAG